GAUGAACGCUGGCGGCGUGCCUAACACAUGCGAGUCGAGCGAACAGACGAGGAGUUUGCUCCUCUGACGGUAUCGGCGGACGGGUGAGUAACACGUGGAUAACCUACCUAUAAGACUGGGAUAACUACGGGAAACCGGAGCUAAUACCGGAUGAUAUAUUGAACCGCAUGGUUCAAUAGUGAAAGACGGUUUUUCUGUCACGUAUAGAUGCAUCCGCGCCGCAUUAGCUAGUUGGUAAGGUCACGGCUUAGCAAGGCGACGAUGCGUAACCGACCCCAGAGCGUCAUUGGGUAGCCUGGAGCAGAGACACGGCCCCCACUCUUGCGCGAGGCCGCAGUCGGGACUCUUACGCAAUGCGGGAGAGGGUGACCGUGCACCGCGGCGGAAGUGCUGACGCUGUCCGGCCCGUAAAACGCUGUUGUUCGUGGGGAACAAAUGUGCUUUUAACUAUGCCCGUAUUGACGGUACCCGGUCAAGAAGCCCCGGCUAACUACGUG
rnacentral:rRNA from 1 species